AUUGAACGCUGGCGGCAUGCUUUACACAUGCAAGUCGAACGGUAACAGGCCGCAAGGUGCUGACGAGUGGCGAACGGGUGAGUAAUGCAUCGGAACGUGCCCAGUCGUGGGGGAUAACGCAGCGAAAGCUGCGCUAAUACCGCAUACGAUCUAUGGAUGAAAGCGGGGGACCGUAAGGCCCCGCGCGAUUGGAGCGGCCGAUGUCAGAUUAGGUAGUUGGUGGGGUAAAGGCUCACCAAGCCAACGAUCUGUAGCUGGUCUGAGAGGACGACCAGCCACACUGGGGCUGAGACACGGCCCAGACUCCUACGGGAGGCAGCAGUGGGGAAUUUUGGACAAUGGGCGCAAGCCUGAUUCAGCAAUGCCGCGUGCAGGAAGAAGGCCUUCGGGUUGUAAACUGCUUUUGUACGGAACGAAAAGGCUCUGGAUAAUACCUGGGGCUCAUGACGGUACCGUAAGAAUAAGCACCGGCUAACUACGUGCCAGCCGCCGCCGUAAGAC
rnacentral:rRNA from 1 species